rnacentral:pre_miRNA from 1 species
UUUUAUGAAUAAGCAAAGAAAGUGGUUUCUUAAGAUGGAAUCUAUUCCUGGUGAAAAUGCUGUGAA